AGGCAGUCUGAAAAAUAUUGCAGAAGUGAUACUCAGUAGAAUCCAGUCAAACGACAUCUGGGGAAAGAAAAAGUGUAUGGUUCAAUGAGGUUUCAUUAAAGUGAAGGACGUAGAUUGAGGACAUUUAAGUGAGGAACUGUACUGUAUGCUGCUUCUUUUGCACAAUAUGUCUACCUGUGCACAAAAGGUUGCCAAAGAAUAGUGCAGCUAUCAUAUUCUGUUUCAUGCUAGGUAAUUUAAACUAGUAGUUUGCUUUGAUAGUCUAUACCAGUAAUCUCCAACUCAUCUCUGUCUACGCACUGCAUGCAGCCCACAUAGCUUCGCUAGGCAUGCGCGGCACUGUUUUCUCAUCUUUUCCAUUAGACUGUACUACGGAGGAAAUUUUUGGGCCAAUGUGAUUGAAAAAAAAAGGUGCACCUUAAAUUCAGGCAAAUACUGUAUAUUUCAUUGCAAACUUUCACUUCUUAAAAUGUCCACAUGCAGGCCAUAAAUGGGGUAUUUAGAGGCAAAUGUCUUCAACGCAUUCACUGCGCCUUAAUUAAGUAACAGCAAGACAAAUGCAGCAGCUGUUGAACACCUUCCUGGGGGGUCACAUGCAUGUAUGCUGAUUAUGGUUACAUUAGUUCGCACUAUCUAGCGAACGCCAACUUUAGAUAGAAAUAAUGGAUUUGAACCACUAAAUGUAUGAGCGCCAUCUGGAGCUUUCAGAACAGCAUCGAAUUGACCAGGCUACUUAACAGAAAUAUACUUAUUGUUAUCAUUCCAUGGGCAGCCAGCCAAUGUCCCAACCCUAUUUUAAGUUUAUACAGUAGUUCCGCUGAGUUGAGUUUUCUGUCACUGGAGUCAAGUGUAUACGUUUUGGUUCCACUUACUUAUUUGAGUAAACCGAUUGGUUAACUGAUCAGAAUUAACAUAGCAAAAAAAAUUGCUCAGCUGCAAGCAAUGCUGUAGUAGACGGCUCCUGAUUUUUAUGACCACAUCGGGUUCUUCAGGAAUGUUCUUGAAUUCUUCCCGUAUUGGAAGUGAGUGGGAGUCAAGCUUGUAGCCUUCAUGGUCAGCAGCAUAACACCAUAGGCACUGCAGUGCAAUAUGUGUAAUAGUCUGCAAGGAAUCUCUGCUGUAGGAUAUACUUACUCUUUACCAUCUCCACCUUCUCUGGUGUGGCCGGCAGCUUUGUUGCGUUUGUGGCCACGCUGCGGCAAGCCUGGCCUGUAAGGCUGCGUGUGGCAGCCUCGGAGGGUAGCCAAAAGUGUUUGACUAUCUUUAAACAACACUUCACAUCUGAUACAUUUUUCAUGACAAAGAGCCAUUUGUCCAAUGGCAUGAAGAUGUUUUCCCCAAGUUUUACCUGCAUUAAGAUAGUGAUGCAAAGAAACAGUUAUUUUUUUUGCUAAAAUAUAACUACCUAUAAAGGUGGAGUCAAGUAGAUAUCGCACAAGACAAGAAAAAAAUUUCGCUGCCUAGUAAUGUAAAACAGUCAUCAGCAAAAUAAACUUGCACACACCAUUGUAAUCAACAGCCUCAGGAGGAAUGCAAAGACGUAGGAUCGUUCCCCACCUGUGGUGGGAUCACUGUCACAGAUGGCUCAGGAGUCCUCCGAGCCCACGCGUGGUGGUCCCGCAGUGACCCCUCCCGCCCCUGUGGUGGAAGCAGCCAGCGCUGCUCCAUCCCCUUCAAAGGCCCCGCAGACACCAGUCCCGCAAGGCCCUAAAAUCUGCCGAACUCCAAGGCCCGAGACGCGUGUCUUGGCACCCGAUUCUCGGUCUUCCAAUGCUUCAGAGAGAGCGAUGGACGUCGAUCCAAAAACCCCGGUGUCGUCGACGCUGAAGGACAAGCGCUCUCUCGAGCGCGGAAAGAGGGACAAAGUCCCAAUCACCACGUUAAAUUAGAAAGCGAUAACCUAAAGGUUAUCGCUCAUUUGUAUUAACAUGCUUUAGAUCUGUGUUACCUAGCAUCUUUCUUAUUCUCAUUUACUUUUAUAGCCAUUUUUACCUUUCAGUUUCAAAUGGGCUUUUAUUAUCCAUUGGAAUUGUAGAGGGCUUUUACACAACUUAGGUGACAUCAAAAACAUGUUAAGUAACUUCUCUCCUGUGGCCGUCUGCUUACAAGAAACAAACUUAGGUGAAAAGCACAAAAACAUUAUAAAAGGCUUCAGUUGUUGUACUACCGUACUCAGGCGAACCGGCUUUCGGGUUAUGUAGCCAUUGUUCUGCAGAGCGGCAUUGCAGCCAGUGAAGAUGCCAAUUUAUACUCACUUAGAAGUCGUUCCUGUCACUGUUUUAGCGCACACAAAAAAAGAACUUCCCGCAAGGUUAGAGCAUUGCACGCGUAAUGCGAAGACGUGGGGUCGUUCCCCACCGGCGGCAAGUUGUUUUUGCAUCCACUUUCAUUGCCAUUAAUUUAUCAUAUCUUUAAUUCAAGUGGUAAGUACAAAUAAUUUUUCCUAUGUUGUCCUUGGUGUCAUUAUUUCUUGGCUUCUAAUGAUGCACGUGUUUUCAUGUGGCACAACAAGAAGUUAAUGUACCUUUGCAAAAAGUAAAGAAACGUACCAUUCUG